GCCCCAACCGGCGACCUCUCCCUUCCUGUCCAGCUUCCUCCAUGGCUGCUCUACUUCAACACGACAUGGACGGAUGCCACAUCCACCGAGCCACGGACGCCAUGGACGGAGGUCCAACCCUUCAGUAGCAGCAGGCCGCCAUUUUCAUUGAUUUGAGGAAUUCCUGCAAGUGAUUGAUGGUGUGCAGGCCAUGGAGGGCUUCAACCCAUCAAGGUACGCUGCUCCAAACCCCCUCUGUUCGAUUGGAUUGGACCAAAUCCAUUGAUUUAUUCUUCCAUUCUCAUCUUGUUUGCCCGAGGAGACCAACUGAAUUCAUGGACUAAAUUAUUAUUUUUGGUCUUGUGAAUGCUGGUCAAAUUCCUUGAUUUUAUUUUAUCCAUGACUCGGGGAAUAUAAAGUGCAUGCUGUGAGCCAGAUACAUGACAAUUAUAUUUUAUCUAUCAAUGCUAAAGCUCCUUCAUCUGAUCAAUGCUUCUUAAUUUGAAUAUAAAUUAUGUACCUAUAUUUUGAAUUCUGAUCAAUGCUUCUUCAUUUGGAUAUUUUAUAAUUCAUAGACAGGAUUGCGACUUGGUUAAUAACACAAUUUAAUUUUCUUAUUAUGUUGUUAAAGUUCUUAGGAAAAUAGGCACAUAUCAUCCUAAUAGCUCUGAUGAUUCCAAAACUAUUUAAUGUUAGAUCACUGUAAGAAAGGAGUAUUUUUUGUUGGUCUCAGAGAAUAAGACAAAAAUGCAUUUCAAUUUCACUAUAGUCUUGUAUGCACUACUAAUUUCACACAUGGCAGGCUUUGUAUGUGAAAUCCCCAGAGUUGAGUGAUCUGAACCUCAACUAUUGUACAAACCUACACCCAGGUAUUAUGUCCUUAGCUUUUUCAUCAGGUUGUCAGGUUGUCAAGUCUGCCACACAAGGUGCCCCCAUGGGUGUAGAUUUAUCCAUUGGCUACCCAUUGGAGCAUCACUUGCAGGACUCUCUGUUUACACACAAAAUUGAUGUAGCUUUUCUAGCCUUCUGUGUAUAACUACCUUUUUUUCAUAGUUGUAUCAAGUAAGGAUUACUUUAUCCAUACAUUGUUGGCAUAAAAUUGAUGCUCAGUCUUGUGGCAGACUUUGUGCAUUAUAAGACACUUGCCCCAGAUCCAAUUCGUCGAUGGAGUUAGAACAAUUCCGUACAACAGAGUAUUAGGUAAUUUAUGUUCUAACCAUGUUAUUAUUAUUGCAGAACCAAAUACAAAUGCUUAAUCUGAGCCAUUUCUCACUCCAUUUCCUCUAGGUGUCUACCAAUUAUUGUUUGUCUUCUUAAGUGAAUGAGCUGCUGGUCAUACUUUAACCACACGUCAAUUGCAGGAGUGCGACAGCGCCAUCCUGUGCCACAAACCAUGCGAAGAAUUAUGGGUGGUGUAAUCCUAUGCUAGCUAGGGUGCUAGACAGAUUUAAUAAACUCUUUGGAGCUCAUCUUUUGCCUGAAACGCUAAAACUAACCUGACACAGCAGUGACUAAUGAUUAAUACAAUGGAGUGCAUUUGAUCCACCUUAAAAAAAUACCUAUUGGGGAAUAAGAAUGAAAAGUAAUCACCCCUGUUUCUGCAGUGGAAUUCAAGUAUACCAGCUCGUCUAUUUAUUUGACUGUUGUUAGAUUGUUUUAUCCUGGUCUGACGUGUUAAUGGAGUUGUUUCAUUCCUCACACGACCCCUUUCAAUUGGAUCAGUUCUCCUUUUGGGUUACUCUAUAUUCCCUACAUAUAUCUUUAUUAUGUUCAUCGAGACUUCAGAGUAAGACAUUUAUUUUAUUCAUAGUACCUUCAAGGUAACAUGGUACCUACAACGCAGUCGGGCUAAUGGUAAUCAGUUCUAAAUCUAAUCAAGUGUAAGCUUCUCUGUUGUCUGUACUGCAGCCGUGAUGAUCAGAAGUUCAGGACCCCACUGUAGACAGGAAAAAAAGAAUAAUCUUGAUAUCAUUCAGGAUAGUGAAGUCUGCACCAGAAUAUUGACCAACCCCGUGGGAUGCAGUUUUGUUUUAUUUGGAGAUGGAUUGAAAAAAAUCCGAGCUACACUGACCUUGUACAGAGUGUAUCUGAAAAUUUGAGUAACAUCUCCAUAUCACUGAGUCUGAAAAACUAUUGUACCAUCUUUAUUAUACUGGAUUUUAUUCAUUUUGUUCUUUUUUUCGUACCACUCAGUACUUUGAUGUUGUCAUAGGGGACAUCGCUGAUCAAUGGACUCCAUGAUGAGAUAAUCGCCGGCGCCAUCUCUGAUUCUAUUGAUGAGCGUGUACAUACAGCAUCGGCAGCCACUUAGGAUUCAAGGAUGGUAGGAUAGUAACAAAUGUUUAUGGACGACUCCUAAUUAAACUAGAACAAAAAAUUGCUUGCAAUUUUCAUUGGUUGCUGUUGGCAGUGAGGUGCAUGUAAUACAUUGAAAACUUGCUGCUAUGGGCAAAGACAAUAUGCGUGUAUUUGUAGUCUGAGUUGUUUAUUGUUUAUUUUGGUCGCAUCAGGCAAUGUGUGAACUAA